UUCGGUAUCCUGUGUUGCUUACCUAUCGAAAGGAAUCCGAUGGUUUCGUUAGUCCCUUUCCGCCCCCUGCCCUCACGGGUUUUGGGGUGGACAUCAGGCAAGCCUCGUGUUCCCGGCACGCUUCGCCCAGCUGCGUCGCUGCCUCGGCCCACGAGGUGCACUGCCCGUGCUCUCGGAUGCAGAAUGUUAUGUGCGGGUGCGGGGUCUAUUUAUUAGCUCCGUUUGCCCAAGCAACGCAUUUGUCCAUCGACACGAACGACUGCCGUGCCCGUCUUGAGCCCGCGGCCUCACGGCCUGCCGGGUCUCAUGCGGGCGUCGG
rnacentral:misc_RNA from 1 species